CGCAGGCUGCCAUCUGUCAGAAAGACCCUUCAGAGACUCUUCUCGUCCUCCUCCUCGUCAGACCAGCCUGAAACUCAGGAGGCCACAGCCCCUCCACUGACCGACACCAUGUCCCCAGAGGAGAUCAAAGCCUGGGAAGAGACGGAGCUGGAUAAACCAAUCGAUAUGGAGCAGAUCCGCAUAGAUCCUUCCCCAUUUCAGCUGGUGGAAAGAACUUCUCUACACAAGGUGACUACCGCAACAGCUGGUCAACACAGUCAUCGCACGAACAGAUCAUGUAC
rnacentral:lncRNA from 1 species